GACGUAGGGGGCAAGCGUUGUCCGGAUUUACUGGGCGUAAAGAGCGCGUAGGCGGUCCGUUAAGUGUGAAGUGAAAUCUCCAGAGCUCAACUCGGAAACUGCUUCGCAUACUGGCGGACUUGAGGAAUGCAGAGGUGAAUAGAAUUCCUGGUGUAGCGGUGAAAUGCGUAGAUAUCAGGAGGAAUACCCAUGGCGAAGGCAGUUCACUGGGCAUUAUCUGACGCUGAGGCGCGAAAGCGUGGGUAGCAAACAGG
rnacentral:rRNA from 1 species